rnacentral:tRNA from 1 species
GCCCCUGUAGGCUAACGGAUAGACUGAGCGGUUGCGGUCCGCUAUAUCUGGGUUCGAUUCCCAGCAGGGGCG